AGUAUGUUUUUAGGUCAAGAACUUAAUGCAAAUGAAAUGGAUGACAUAGAAAGUUCUCCUUAAGGACAUUUUUUUAAAAAGAUAAUCGUAUCAGGAAUGUCUGCCUUUCUUAUAUGAGAUGCAAAUAGGAUAAGAGAGGCUUGGAGAUAUAGAUAUAUAUAUAUAUACGUAGAGCAACCCUAACUGUGUUGCUUAGAAGCUGGGACCCACACUUCAUUGGAAUCAACAGCUUGGGGAUAACGGAGCAAUCAUGAAGUACCUCUUGCUUCUGAGCUUGGUGGCACUUUCCCAAUGUCUGACAACCAAGGUUCACCUAAAGAAAACAAAAUCUGUGAGACAAACCCUUGAAGAGCAGGGGCUGCUAAAAGAUUUUCUGAAGAA